rnacentral:rRNA from 1 species
UACAGGGGGGGCAAGCGUUGUUCGGAAUUACUGGGCGUAAAGGGCUCGUAGGUGGCCGACUAAGUCAGACGUGAAAUCCCUCAGCUUAACUGGGGAACUGCGUCUGAUACUGGAUGGCUUGAGUUUGGGAGAGGGAUGCGGAAUUCCAGGUGUAGCGGUGAAAUGCGUAGAGAUCGGGAGGAACACCAGUGGCGAAGGCGGCCAUCUGGAUCAACACUGACGCUGAGGCACGAAAGCGUGGGGAGCAAACAGG